ACGGAGGGUGCAAGCGUUGUUCGGAAUUACUGGGCGUAAAGGGUGCGUAGGCGGCAGUGCAAGUCAGAUGUGAAAUACCCGGGCUUAACCUGAGAACAGCAUUUGAAACUGCACAGCUUGAGUACAGCAGAGGGAAGCGGAAUUCCCGGUGUAGAGGUGAAAUUCGUAGAUAUCGGUAGGAACACCAGUGGCGAAGGCGGUUUCCUGGUCUGAUACUGACGCUGAGGCGCGAAAGCGUGGGGAGCAAACAG
rnacentral:rRNA from 1 species